AACCGGAUUAGAUACCCUGGUAGUCCACGCCGUAAACGAUGGAUACUCGCUGCGAGCUAAAGAUUGUUCGUGGCUUAGGGAAACCGAUAAGUAUCCCACCUGGGGAGUACGCCGGCAACGGUGAAACUCAAAGGAAUUGACGGGGGCCCGCACAAGUGGUGGAGCAUGUGGUUUAAUUCGAUGAUACGCGAGGAACCUUACCUAGGCUAGAAUGCGCGUGAUCGGCUCAGAGAUGAGCCUUUCCUUCGGGACACAAAGCAAGGUGCUGCAUGGCCGUCGUCAGCUCGUGCCGUGAGGUGUUGGGUUAAGUCCCGCAACGAGCGCAACCCCUAUGUUUAGUUGCCAGCAUGUAAUGAUGGGGACUCUAGACAGACUGCCUGCGCAAGCAGUGAGGAAGGCGGGGACGACGUCAGGUCAUCAUGGCCCUUACGCCUAGGGCGACACACGUGCUACAAUGGACGGUACAGCGGGUAGCUACUGGGCGACCAGAUGCCAAUCUCGAAAAGCCGUUCUCAGUUCGGAUUGGAGUCUGCAACUCGACUCCAUGAAGCUGGAAUCACUAGUAAUCGCGCAUCAGCCAUGGCGCGGUGAAUACGUUCCCGGGCCU
rnacentral:rRNA from 1 species